rnacentral:rRNA from 1 species
UUGGAGGGCAAGUCUGGUGCCAGCAGCCGCGGUAAUUCCAGCUCCAAUAGCGUAUAUUAAAGUUGUUGCAGUUAAAAAGCUCGUAGUUGAAUUUUAGACCUGGCCAGGCGGUCCGUCUUUGGCGAGUACUGUCUUGUUGUCGGGUCUUCCUUCUGGUGAACCAGUAUGUCCUUUAUUGGGUGUGUUGGGGAGCCAGGACCAUUACCUUGAAAAAAUUAGGGUGUUUAAAGCGGGCUAUUGCUUGAAUAGAUUAGCAUGGAAUAAUAGAAUAGGACGUUGUGGUUCUAUUUUGUUGGUUUCUAGGACCACCGUAAUGAUUAAUAGGGAUAGUUGGGGGCAUUAGUAUUCAAUUGUCAGAGGUGAAAUUCUUGGAUUUAUUGAAGACUAACUAUUGCGAAAGCAUUUGCCAUGGAUGUUUUCAUUAAUCAAGAACGAAAGUUAGGGGAUCGAAGACGAUCAGAUACCGUCGUAGUCUUAACCAUAAACUAUGCCGACUAGGAAUCGGGCGUCGUUAUUUUAAUGACUCGUUCGGCGCCUUACGGGAAAC